rnacentral:rRNA from 1 species
GAUGAACGCUGGCGGCGUGCCUAAUACAUGCAAGUCGAGCGAACAGACGAGGAGCUUGCUCCUCUAACGUUAGCGGCGGACGGGUGAGUAACACGUGGAUAACCUACCUAUAAGACUGGGAUAACUUCGGGAAACCGGAGCUAAUACCGGAUAAUAUAUUGAACCGCAUGGUUCAAUAGUGAAGGACGGUUUUGCUGUCACUUAUAGAUGGAUCCGCGCCGCAUUAGCUAGUUGGUAAGGUAACAGCUUACCAAGGCAACGAUGCGUAGCCGACCUGAGAGGGUGAUCGGCCACACUAGAACUGAGACACGGUCCAGACUCCUACGGGAGGCAGCAGUAGGGAAUCUUCCGCAAUGGGCGAAAGCCUGACGGAGCAACGCCGCGUGAGUGAUGAAGGUCUUCGGAUCGUAAAACUCUGUUAUUAGGGAAGAACAAAUGUGUAAGUAACUAUGCACGUCUUGACGGUACCUAAUCAGAAAGCCACGGCUAACUACGUGCCAGCCGCCGCCGUAA